UACAGAGGGUGCAAGCGUUGUUCGGAAUUAUUGGGCGUAAAGGGCGCGUGAGGCGGUGCCACAAGUCAACCUCGGUGAAAUCGAUCCGGGCCUUAACUCGGAGCCUGCAGGCGAAACUGUGGUGCGUGGAGUGUGGGAGAGGUGCGUGGAAUUCCCGGAUGUAGCGGUGAAAUGGCGUAGAGUAUCGGGGAGGAACACCUGUGGCGGA
rnacentral:rRNA from 1 species